UGAGUACAAGAUGCUACGGCAUUGAAGCAGUCUAUGUCAUACUUCCAAGAAAAGCUUGCAAUGUCAUAAACAAAUAAUGCCUGUACCAUAACCGACACAGGUGGGUAGGUAGAGUAUACUAAGGGGCGCGAGAUAACUCUCUCUAAGGAACUCGGCAAAAUGACUCCGUAACUUCGGGAGAAGGAGUACCUUAUUUUAUAAGGUUGCAAUAACAAGGUCCAAGCAACUGUUUACCAAAAACACAGGUCUCCGCUAAGUCGUAAGACGAUGUAUGGGGGCUGACGCCUGCCCAGUGCCAGAAGGUUAAAGAAGUUGGUUAGCAUUAGCGAAGCUGAUAACUGAAGCCCUGGUGAACGGCGGCCGUAACUAUAACGGUCCUAAGGUAGCGAAAUUCCUUGUCGGGUAAGUUCCGACCCGCACGAAAGGCGUAAUGAUUUGGAUACUGUCUCGGAGAGGGGCUCGGUGAAAUAGACUUGUCUGUGAAGAUGCGGACUACCUGCACCUGGACAGAAAGACCCUAUGAAGCUUUACUGUAACUUGAGAUUGAAAUUGGACUUUAUUUGCGCAGUAUAGGUGGGAGACCUCGAAAGUAUUCUUGCGGGAAUAUUGGAGUCAUCAGUGAGAUACCACUCUUAUAAUGUUAGAUUUCUAACUUUGUAUCAUUAUCUGGUCAAAGAACAGUUUCAGGCGGGCAGUUUGACUGGGGCGGUCGCCUCCCAAAUGGUAACGGAGGCGCACAAAGGUUUCCUCUGAACGUGUAGAAAUCUAUCUAGAGUGUAAAGGCAUAAGGAAGCUUGACUGUGAGACCUACAAGUCGAGCAGGGACGAAAGUCGGUCUUAGUGAUCUGACGGUGCUGAGUGGAAAGGCCGUCACUCAACGGAUAAAAGUUACUCUAGGAUAACAGGCUGAUCUCCCCCAAGAGUUCACAUCGACGGGGAGGUUUGGCACCUCGAUGUCGGCUCAUCGCAUCCUGGGGCGGUAGUACGUCCCAAGGGUUGGGCUGUUCGCCCAUGAAGGCGGUACGCGAGCUGGGUUCAGAACGUCGUGAGACAGUUCGGUCCAUAUCCGGUGUAGGCGUUAGAAUAUUGAGAGGAGCCUUCUUUAGUACGAGAGGACCGAGAAGGACAUACCUCUGGUGUACCAGUUAUCGUGCCAACGGUAAACGCUGGGUAGCUAUGUAUGGAGAGGAUAACCGCUGAAAGCAUCUAAGUGGGAAGCCCACCUCAAGAUAAGUAUUCUCA
rnacentral:rRNA from 1 species